rnacentral:lncRNA from 1 species
GGAGAAAUGCCAAAUAUGGGUGAUGGGGGGAUGAUGGCAGCAAACCACAUUGCCAUGUAUGUACCUGUGCAACAAUCCUGCAUGUUCUGCACAUCUACCCCAGAAUCUAAAGUGCAAGAAUAUAUAUAUAUAUGUGAGAAUGUCAGCCUUGCAGAACUAUCACACUACUUUUUCUUUUUGUUUUUUUUUUAAGAUACAUAUUAGGUGUUCAGCAAUUUAAAAUAUCUCCAGGGAUUUUGUUUGAAAUUGUCAUAUUCUAAAGCCAUGAGGGGGUCUAUCAUGGCAAAUAUUUUAACAUCACUUGAGGACGUUGAGCCCCAUUUCUUCAAAUGCUUGCCUUUGAAGCAUUUGAAGAUUCUUGGACCCUUUGCUUUCUGGUUGAAGUCUUGGCUUAGCAUGUGCAGCAAAUAACACAGAACACAGCCACUCCCUGACAGCACCUCCCCUCUCCUCUGCUGUGACUUACGUUUUCCUAAGUGAGCUGGCUGCCACCUCUGCAGCUGCCCUUUGGAGUAUUUCUCCAGAGUGGUGACUGUCAUUAGCAGUGCUGCGGCUUGGCUCUUCUCCGUGUCAACUGUGGUUGUAACUGCCCUCCCUUUCCAUAGGAUGUCCUGGUGUGCUUGGUGCUUCACCAUGGCCUUUGUAAUACUGACUCCAGUCCAGAAGACAGUCAUCAGUUAAGUAAAUAAACCAGGAACAGAACAUUGGUACUUACAGUAGAUGACUCUGAGGUCCAAGUGAAUGACAGUAUUUGCAAGGAAUUCAUUGGAUUUGACCAUCAAAACUCUGUUCCAGGCACACUCAGGCAUCACGGAAAAUGAUACCUAUUGUGGAAUCCCUCACUUGCCCAUGAAUAAUCUAGAAGGAGGUGUUGUCUGUCUUCAAAGCAAUGCAGCUGAAACUCUCGACCAAGUUCUCUGCAACUUCUUAAUCUUACUGAUCUUCUCGGCUGGCUUCAGCUCAAAGAGGUGGCACCUCUGGGCAAUGCGAGAGCCCCAGCAACUUCCCCAAACUGGUGGAGAACAGAGCGUAGACAACCAACGGCUGGGGCAUGCACCAAGGCCUCCUCCUUCUCCAUGCACCCUCCGUGGCUUGGGGGACCAAAGGAAGGCAGCAGGCUCAGUCCUGGGUAGUGGGGGGCAGCUGGGGACAUUUUCUUUGGUGCCUAGCCUAUGCAAGCUUUCCUUAAGACCUGACAAUUACUCAGGCACAGGAAUCCCAAAUUAG